rnacentral:rRNA from 1 species
AGAGUUUGAUCAUGGCUCAGGACGAACGCUGGCGGCGUGCUUAACACAUGCAAGUCGAACGGAAAGGCACUUCGGGGUACUCGAGUGGCGAACGGGUGAGUAACACGUGGGUGAUCUGCCCUGCACUUUGGGAUAAGCCUGGGAAACUGGGUCUAAUACCGAAUAGGACCACGCGCUUCAUGGUGUGUGGUGGAAAGCUUUUGCGGUGUGGGAUGGGCCCGCGGCCUAUCAGCUUGUUGGUGGGGUAAUGGCCUACCAAGGCGACGACGGGUAGCCGGCCUGAGAGGGUGACCGGCCACACUGGGACUGAGAUACGGCCCAGACUCCUACGGGAGGCAGCAGUGGGGAAUAUUGCACAAUGGGCGCAAGCCUGAUGCAGCGACGCCGCGUGAGGGAUGACGGCCUUCGGGUUGUAAACCUCUUUCAAUAGGGACGAAGCGUGAGUGACGGUACCUAUAGAAGAAGCACCGGCCAACUACGUGCCAGCAGCCGCGGUAAUACGUAGGGUGCGAGCGUUGUCCGGAAUUACUGGGCGUAAAGAGCUCGUAGGUGGUUUGUCGCGUUGUUCGUGAAAACUCACAGCUUAACUGUGGGCGUGCGGGCGAUACGGGCAGACUAGAGUACUGCAGGGGAGACUGGAAUUCCUGGUGUAGCGGUGGAAUGCGCAGAUAUCAGGAGGAACACCGGUGGCGAAGGCGGGUCUCUGGGCAGUAACUGACGCUGAGGAGCGAAAGCGUGGGGAGCGAACAGGAUUAGAUACCCUGGUAGUCCAA